UCUGAAGUACAAAAUGCAAAACUAUCGAACAAAGCUUGGGCGGCUUGGUGAUCCUGAAAUCCGUGUGAAUUCCUUAAAGCACAAACGGGAAGGCCAAGGAAAAACUGCUGCCAACAUCAAAAAACCAAGAAAGGCUGAGGUCUAUUAUGUCCCUUUACCCCCAAAAGGUGAAAGCACUGAAAGCUUGGAAACUGAAAGAGUGGCUCUACUCUCAGAAAUCAAAAAGCGAGACAAUGAAGCAGUGAUAAAAGCAAAAAUGGAAAGAACCUUCUCUCAUAGACGACUAGAGAUUGUGGAACAGAGGCCGAUGAUCAGAGAUUUCAUGAACAGAUGGCCUGCCCUUUUCAAGGAAAGUGAAGUGAAUGCAGAGUUCCUGCGGAUCACUACAAAACCUCUGCAGGCAAAGUUCUUGGCUCAGCUGGACAAUUUAACAGACAAGCUGAUGAAAAUUUUUGAGGGGAGCAAAGGAGCAAAGGGCCAAAAGAUCAAGGAUAUCAUGGCGAUCAGUAGUUUGUGUGAUGACAUCGACAUAAAGAGGGAGCAUACUCUUAAAAGCCUGGUGAUCUACUUUAAUGAAGAUCCAGACCUACUGUUCAAGGAG